UUUUGCACCUGAGUCUGACAUCGUAGAAGGACCAUUCUGGUAUCAGAUUGGAUUUUGCACCUGAGUCUGACAUCGUAGAAGGACCAUUCUGGUACCAGAUUGGAUUUUGCACCUGAGUCUGACAUCGUAGAAGGACCAUUCUGGUACCAGAUUGGAUUUUGCACCUGAGUCUGACAUCGUAGAAGGACCAUUCUUGCAUCAGAUUGUUAGUAUUAAAUUAUCUUAAAUAACUUUUGUAAUUAUUACACAAAUUGUCUCCCAACAUUUAUGCUUGUGUGUUUUCUUUAAUAAAGAAUAUUUUUAAAUUUUUCUAAUUAAAA